GGUCUUUAUAAUUUAUUAAAGAUUUAACCUGCCCAUUGAAAUUUUUUAAAAGGCCGCAGUAUAUUGACUGUGCUAAGGUAGCAUAGUAAUUAGGUUUUUAAUUGAGAUCUUGAAUGAAUGGUUGGAUGAAAUAUGAGCUUUUUUAUUUUUAAAAAUUGAAUUUUAUUUAUUAGUGAAAAAGCUAAUAUUUAUUAAUGGGACGAGAAGACCCUAUAGAAUUUUAUAAUUUAAUUUUAAUUUACUAUUAUGUUUGUUUAUAAAUUAAAAUUAAAUUAUUUUAUUGGGGAGAUAUUUAAAUUUGUUUAACUUUAAUUUUUAAAUUCAUUAAUUUUUGUAUUUAUGAUCUUUUUUUAUAGAUUAAAAAUUUAAAUUACCUUAGGGAUAACAGCAUAAUUUUUUUAAGAAGUUCUUAUUUUUAAAAUAUUUUAUGACCUCGAUGUUGAAUUAAAAUAAUUUUUAUAUGAAGAAAUAUAAUUAAUAAGUCUGUUCGACUUUUAAAUUUUUACAUGAUUUGAGUUCAAACCGGUGUGAG
rnacentral:rRNA from 1 species